rnacentral:misc_RNA from 1 species
GAUCUGAAAAAGGCCCAGGAUGCUC